rnacentral:rRNA from 1 species
UACGAAGGGGGCUAGCGUUGCUCGGAAUCACUGGGCGUAAAGCGCACGUAGGCGGACUCUUAAGUCAGGGGUGAAAUCCUGGAGCUCAACUCCAGAACUGCCUUUGAUACUGAAGAUCUUGAGUUCGGGAGAGGUGAGUGGAACUGCGAGUGUAGAGGUGAAAUUCGUAGAUAUUCGCAAGAACACCAGUGGCGAAGGCGGCUCACUGGCCCGAUACUGACGCUGAGGUGCGAAAGCGUGGGGAGCAAACAGG